rnacentral:rRNA from 1 species
CCCUUAGAUGUUCUGGGCCGCACGCGCGCUACACUGAUGCAUUCAACGAGUCUAAAACCUGCUCUGAUAGGGGUGGGUAAUCUUUUGAAUGUGCAUCGUGAUUGGGAUAGAUGAUUGCAAUUUUUCAUCUUCAACGAGGAAUGCCUAGUAAACGCAAGUCAUCAGCUUGCAUUGAUUACGUCCCUGCCCUUUGUACACACCGCCCGUCGCUCCUACCGAUUGAACGGUUUAGUGAGGGCCUCGGAUUGGUCUCGGCCCGCUCUUUACCGGGCGGCGCCGUUGGUCGAGAAGACGCUCGAACUUGAUCGUUUAGAGGAAGUAAAAGUCGUAACA